rnacentral:rRNA from 1 species
AGAGUUUGAUCAUGGCUCAGAAUGAACGCUGGCGGCGUGCUUAACACAUGCAAAUCGUGCGCGAAAGCGGCUUCGGCCGCGUGUAGAGCGGCGAACGGGUGAGUAACACGUGGACAACCUGCCCAAGAGUGGGGGAUAACCUGGGGAAACUCGGGCUAAUACCGCAUACGUUCGUGGGGUUUCGGCCCUGCGCAGAAAGGUGGCCUAUGCUUGCAAGCCACCGCUCCUGGAGGGGUCCGCGUCUGAUUAGCUAGUUGGCGGGGUAAUGGCCCACCAAGGCGACGAUCAGUAGCCGGCCUGAGAGGGUGAUCGGCCACACUGGAACUGAGACACGGUCCAGACUCCUACGGGAGGCAGCAGUGGGGAAUAUUGGACAAUGGGGGAAACCCUGAUCCAGCAACGCCGCGUGGAGGAUGAAGGUCUUCGGAUUGUAAACUCCUGUUAGGGGGGACGAAGGGAUGUCGGUGAACAGCCGGCAAACUUGACGGUACCCCCAGAGGAAGCCCCGGCUAACUCUGUGCCAGCAGCCGCGGUAAUACAGAGGGGGCAAGCGUUAUUCGGAAUUAUUGGGCGUAAAGGGCGCGUAGGCGGCCUUGUAAGUCUUGGGUGAAAUCCCUCAGCUCAACUGAGGAACUGCCUCGGAAACUGCAAGGCUUGAGGCCGGGAGAGGGUAGUGGAAUUCCCAGUGUAGCGGUGAAAUGCGUAGAUAUUGGGAGGAACACCGGUGGCGAAGGCGGCUACCUGGACCGGUUCUGACGCUGAUGCGCGAAAGCGUGGGUAGCAAACAGGAUUAGAUACCCUGGUAGUCCACGCUGUAAACGAUGGGUGCUCGGUGUCGCGGGUAUCGACCCCUGCGGUGCCUUAGUUAACACGUUAAGCACCCCGCCUGGGGAGUACGGUCGCAAGGCUGAAA